UACGUAGGGACCGAGCGUUGUCCGGAUUCAUUGGGCGUAAAGAGCUCGUAGGCGGCGCGGUAAGUCGGGUGUGAAAUCUCGGAGCUUAACUCCGAAACUGCAUUCGAUACUGCCGUGCUUGAGGACUGGAGAGGAGACUGGAAUUUACGGUGUAGCGGUGAAAUGCGUAGAUAUCGUAAGGAAGACCAGUGGCGAAGGCGGGUCUCUGGACAGUUCCUGACGCUGAGGCACGAAGGUCAGGGGAGCAAACGGG
rnacentral:rRNA from 1 species